AACGAACGCUGGCGGCAGGCUUAACACAUGCAAGUCGAGCGCCCCUCACGGGGAGCGGCAGACGGGUGAGUAACGCGUGGGAAUCUACCCAACUCUACGGAAUAACUCAGGGAAACUUGUGCUAAUACCGUAUACGCCCUUCGGGGGAAAGAUUUAUCGGAGUUUGAUGAGCCCGCGUUGGAUUAGCUAGUUGGUGGGGU
rnacentral:rRNA from 1 species